rnacentral:rRNA from 1 species
AUUGAACGCUGGCGGAAUGCUUUACACAUGCAAGUCGAACGGUAGAGGGGGCAACCCCUCGAGAGUGGCGAACGGGUGAGUAAUAUAUCGGAACGUGCCCAGUCGUGGGGGAUAACGUAGCGAAAGUUACGCUAAUACCACAUACGAUCUAAGGAUGUAAGCGGGGGAUCGCAAGACCUCGCGCGAUUGGAGCGGCCGAUAGCAGAUUAGGUAGUUGGUGGGGUAAAGGCUCACCAAGCCAACGAUCUGUAGCUGGUCUGAGAGGACGACCAGCCACACUGGAACUGAGACACGGUCCAGACUCCUACGGGAGGCAGCAGUGGGGAAUUUUGGACAAUGGACGCAAGUCUGAUCCAGCCAUUCCGCGUGCAGGAUGAAGGCCCUCGGGUUGUAAACUGCUUUUGUACGGAACGAAAAGGUCUCUCUUAAUACGGGGGACUCAUGACGGUACCGUAAGAAUAAGCACCGGCUAACUACGUGCCAGCAGCCGCCGUAA